CAGAGGGCGCGAGCGUUGUCCGGAAUCACUGGGCGUAAAGGGCGCGUAGGUGGCCACUAUAAGGCCGCGGUGAAAGUUCGGAGCUCAACUCCGAAUCUGCCGCGGCGACUGUAGGGCUUGGGCACUGGUAGAGGCAGAUGGAAUUCCGGGUGUAGCGGUGGAAUGCGUAGAGAUCCGGAAGAACACCAGUGGCGAAGGCCGGUCUGCUGGGCAGUGGGAGCGCAAGCUCCUUUUAGCCGACACUGAGGCGCGACAGCGUGGGGAGCAAACAGGAUUAGAUACCCUGGUAGUCCACGCCGUAAACGAUGGGCACUAGGUGCUUUGGGGAGCGACCCCCGGGGUACCGGCGCUAACGCAUGAAGUGCCCCGCCUGGGGAGUACGGCCGCAAGGCUG
rnacentral:rRNA from 1 species